GCAUCUGUGGUGGAAAUGGUAGACACGCAGGACUUAAAAUCCUGUUCUAGCGAUAGAGUACGAGUUCGAGUCUCGUUAGGUGCA
rnacentral:tRNA from 2 species